GACAGAGGCCUCAAGCGUUAGGCGGAAUCACUGGGCUUAAAGCGUGUGUAGGCGGAUCGUUAAGUGUCUUGUGAAAUCCCACGGCUCACCCGUGGAACUGCUGGGCAUACUGGCGAUCUUGGGCCAACUAGGGGCAACUGGAACAAGCGGUGGAGCGGUGAAAUGCGUAGAUAUCGAGAGGAACACCAGUGGCGAAGGCGAGUCCCUGGACAACACCUGACACUGAGGCACGAAAGCCGGGGGAGCAAACAGG
rnacentral:rRNA from 1 species